GUGAGGAAUAUUGGUCAAUGGGCGAAAGCCUGAACCAGCCAUGUCGCGUGAAGGAUGAAGGUCCUAUGGAUUGUAAACUUCUUUUGCAGGAGGGUAAAGUGAGCUACGUGUAGUUCAUUGCAAGUACCCUGCGAAUAAGCAUCGGCUAACUCCGUGCCAGCAGCCGCGGUAAUACGGAGGAUGCGAGCGUUAUCCGGAUUUAUUGGGUUUAAAGGGUGCGUAGGCGGACUAAUUAGUCAGCGGCGAAAUUUUGCGGCUCAACCUGAAAACUGCUGUUGAAACUGUUAGUCUUGAGUGCGGUAGAGGUAGGCGGAAUGUGUGGUGUAGCGGUGAAAUGCUUAGAUAUCACACAGAACACCGAUUGCGUAGGCAGAUUACUGGAGCGCAACUGACGCUGAGGCACGAAAGCGUGGGGAUCGAACAGGAUUAGAAACCCCUGUAGUCC
rnacentral:rRNA from 1 species